rnacentral:lncRNA from 1 species
GAGAGAGAAAUAGAGAGAGGGAAAGAAAGAGAGAACGAGCAAGAGAGAGAUCUAACAAGAUUCAUACUAGUGGUCUUUUUUCCUGAUGCUGUCCAAUUGCUGUACGAAACUAAGCCCGGCAUCGGACGGUGAGCGGGACGCGCCAGGCAACAACAGAACACAUCGCAGGAGGAUAUGUGAAGUUGGAAUCCCAGUAAACUAAUGCAGUGAAGUGGCUCUGUCCCUGGAGCCAAGACUUCA